UCAAGAAACAAAGAGCACAGGGUGAAUGCCUUGGCACUGGGAGCCGAAGAAGGACGCGACAAGCUGCGAAAAGCCACGUUUAGGAGCACAUAUCCGUUGAGACGUGGGUGUCCGAAUGGGGAAACCCGGCGGUCAGAAGGGCCGUCACCGUUAAGUGAAUUCAUAGCUUAGCGGAGGGAACCCGGGGAACUGAAACAUCUUAGUACCCGGAGGAAAAGAAAGAAACAUCGAUUCCUUAAGUAGCGGCGAGCGAACGAGGAAGAGCCCAGAAUCCAACAAUCAUUUCCGUUUAGCAGAAGGGCAUGGGAAGGCCCCGCAAAGAGCGUAAGACGCGCGUAUGCGAAAAGCCGAGAUGAGGAGAUUCGACGAGUACCACGGGACACGUGAAACCCUGUGGGAAGAUGGGGGGCCCACCCCCCAAGGCUAAAUACUACCCAGUGACCGAUAGCGGAAAGUACCGUGAGGGAAAGGUGAAAAGAACCCCGGGAGGGGAGUGAAAUAGAAACUGAAACCCUGUGCUUACAAGCAGCUGGAGCGCAAGUGACAGUGUGCUUUUUGUAGAACGGGCCAACGAGUUACGGUAUGUAGCGAGGUUAAGCACUUCAGGUGCGGAGCCGAAGCGAAAGCGAGUCUGAAUAGGGCGCCAUAGUUGCAUGCUGUAGACCCGAAACCGUGUGAUCUAUCCAUGACCAGGGUGAAGCUUGGGUAAAACCAAGUGGAGGCCCGAACCAGUGUCUGUUGAAAAAGGCUUGGAUGAGUUGUGGAUAGGGGUGAAAUUCCAAUCGAACACGGAGAUAGCUGGUUCUCCCCGAAAUAGCUUUAGGGCUAGCGUUCUGUGAUGAAUGACGGAGGUAGAGCACUGAAUUGGGUAGGGGGCGUCAAGCUUACCGAACCAUAUCAAACUCCGAAUGCCGUCCAUUUUAACAGGGCAGUCAGACAGUGGGAGAUAAGUUUCAUUGUCAAAAGGGAAACAGCCCAGACCAUCCGCUAAGGUCCCCAAGUACUGAUUAAGUGGGAAAGGAUGUGUCACUGCACAAACAACCAGGAUGUUGGCUUAGAAGCAGCCAUACAUUUAAAGAGUGCGUAAUAGCUCACUGGUCGAGUGGUGGUGCGCCGAAAAUGAACGGGGCUAAAAUCAGGCACCGAAGCGAUGGAUUGUACCGCAAGGUACAGUGGUAGGGGAGCAAUCUCUUAGGGGCGAAGCCAUUUCGUAAGGGAUGGUGGACUUAAGAGAAGAGAGAAUGUUGGCAUGAGUAGCGAAAGUGAAGUGAGAAUCUUCACCAUCGAAAGCCCAAGGUUUCCUGAGGAAGGCUCGUCCGCUCAGGGUUAGUCGGGGCCUAAGCCGAGGUCAAAAGACGUAGGCGAUGGACAACUGGUUGAAAUUCCAGUACUACCUCAAAGCGUUUGAGAAAUGGAGUGACACAGAAGGAUAAGCGAACCCGGCCGUUGGAAGAGCCGGGGCAAGCAGUAAGGCUGCAGCGGGAGGCAAAUCCCCCAUUGCAAAAGGCUAAGCUGUGAUGCGGAACGAAAAAUAAGUAGGGAAGUCGCCGAUUUCACGCUGUCAAGAAAAGCUUCUAUCGAGCUGCGAGGUACCCGUACCGUAAACCGACACAGGUAGGCGAGGAGAGAAUCCUAAGAUGAGCGGGAGAAGUGUUGUUAAGGAACUCGGCAAAAUGACUCCGUAACUUCGGGAGAAGGAGUGCCCCUUCGGGGGCCGCAGAGAAGAGGCUCAAGCGACUGUUUAGCAAAAACACAGGUCUCUGCUAAAUCGAAAGAUGACGUAUAGGGGCUGACGCCUGCCCGGUGCUGGAAGGUUAAGGGGAGUGCUUAGCGUAAGCGAAGGUGCGAACUUAAGCCCCAGUAAACGGCGGCCGUAACUAUAACGGUCCUAAGGUAGCGAA
rnacentral:rRNA from 1 species